rnacentral:rRNA from 1 species
UGGGGAAUAUUGGUCAAUGGGCGCAAGCCUGAACCAGCCACGCCGCGUGAGUGAUGAAGGCCUUCGGGUUGUAAAGCUCUGUGGGGAGGGAAGAAAACGGCCGGUAAGAAACGACCGGUCCUUGACGGUACCUCCUUAGCAAGCACCGGCUAACUCUGUGCCAGCAGCCGCGGUAAUACAGAGGGUGCGAACGUUGCUCGGAAUUACUGGGCGUAAAGCGCGUGUAGGCGGGUCCGCAAGUCAGAUGUGAAAUCCCCGGGCUCAACUCGGGAACUGCAUCUGAAACUGCGAGCCUUGAGUACCGGAGAGGGUGGCGGAAUUCCUGGUGUAGAGGUGAAAUUCGUAGAUAUCAGGAGGAACACCGGUGGCGAAGGCGGCCACCUGGACGGUAACUGACGCUGAGACGCGAAAGCGUGGGGAGCAAACAGG